rnacentral:pre_miRNA from 1 species
UUGUAACUCCCUCCGUCCGGAAUUACUUGUUAUAGAAAUGGAUGUAUCUAGAUGUAUUUUAAUUCUAGAUACAUCCAUUCCUUUUCAUUUUGGCGACGGGUAAUUUCAUAUAGAGGGAGUAUCAU